UACGUAGGGGGCGAGCGUUGUCCGGAUUUAUUGGGCGUAAAGCGCACGUAGGCGGAUCUUUAAGUCAGGGGUGAAAUCCCGAGGCUCAACCUCGGAACUGCCUUUGAUACUGGGGAUCUCGAGUCCGGGAGAGGUGAGUGGAACUGCGAGUGUAGAGGUGAAAUUCGUAGAUAUUCGCAAGAACACCAGUGGCGAAGGCGGCUCACUGGCCCGGAACUGACGCUGAGGUGCGAAAGCGUGGGGAGCAAACAGG
rnacentral:rRNA from 1 species